rnacentral:rRNA from 1 species
UGGGGAAUAUUGGACAAUGGGCGCAAGCCUGAUCCAGCCAUGCCGCGUGAGUGAUGAAGGCCCUAGGGUUGUAAAGCUCUUUCAGCGAGGAGGAUAAUGACGUUACUCGCAGAAGAAGCCCCGGCUAACUUCGUGCCAGCAGCCGCGGUAAUACGAAGGGGGCUAGCGUUGUUCGGAAUCACUGGGCGUAAAGCGCACGUAGGCGGACUUUUAAGUCAGGGGUGAAAUCCCGGGGCUCAACCUCGGAACUGCCUUUGAUACUGGAAGUCUGGAGUCCGAGAGAGGUGAGUGGAACUCCGAGUGUAGAGGUGAAAUUCGUAGAUAUUCGGAAGAACACCAGUGGCGAAGGCGGCUCACUGGCUCGGUGCUGACGCUGAGGUGCGAAAGCGUGGGGAGCAAAACAGGAUUAGAUACCCUGGUAGUCCACGCCGUAAACGAUGGAAGCUAGCCGUCAGGGUGCAUGCAUCUUGGUGGCGCAGUUAACGCAUUAAGCUUCCCGCCUGGGGAGUACGGUCGCAAGAUUAAAACUUAAAGGAAUUGACGGGGUCAUAGCUGUUUCC